UGCACAUACCAAUCCAGUGGGAAUUAAGCUGAGAAUGUUCCCACACAAGAUCUAUCCCAGCGGGCUCAGAGUUCUGAACUUGAGGCCAUAAAUUCACCAGGCCCUGAGGGACUCAGCUUGACCUCUACUCUCUUCCCUUGCCCUACAGUGGUUUCCUGAACAGCUGAGCAGAUGGAAGACCUGAUUCUUCAGUUUUGAGAAAGUCAGAUUCUGCUUCUCCUGACUCUUGCUCUGUUGCACUUCUAAUUUCUGAGUCAGCUUAGACUGAGCUGAGUGUGAAUCAGGAGACCAACUUCUGCAUCCUAAGGGAGCUUGACUUGGCUUCCAAGGAGUUCAUCUUCGACGCUUAUGACUCUGAGUCCCGAAAAUGAGCCAACGAGGCAAUCUUUCUUCCUCCUGGAUUUGACUGGCACGAGACUGUUUCUAAGACACAGAGGAGCAAGGAUUUGGGGAAGAUGGCCACCUGACGGCAGCUUUUUUCUCCUUGGAUCCCAGCUCCCAAUUCCUCACUUUCAGAGCUGGGAGAGAAGGAGAUGAGGGCUGAGUGCAGGCUUUCAUCCUCCAGACCAAUGCUGACCUGGAGCUGCUCCGGCAUAUAGGAAAGAAAGGCUGGGAUCCUGGGAAAAAAAAUGCUCAUUCUGAGAUCCGUGGCCACAUCUGCUGGAGAGCGCCCAAUGUUUCUGGUUCCUUUGAGGCCAGGUGGGAGCUGGGUCUGGAGCUGUGGCCUCGCCCACCCGGAAGUGGCAGCG
rnacentral:lncRNA from 1 species